AUACACGCUGUGACUAGCAUAUCAAUAAGCGGAGGAAAAGAAACUAACAAGGAUUCCCCUAGUAACGGCGAGUGAAGCGGGAAGAGCUCAAAUUUGAAAUCUUAAAGGGUUUCCCUUUACGAAUUGUAGUUUAAAGAAGUGUUUUCUGUUGAGGUUUUGGUAAAGGUUCUUUGGAAUAGGACAUCAUAGAGGGUGAGAAUCCCGUAUUUGACCUUUACUUUCAACUUUGUGAUACACUUUCAAAGAGUCGGAUUGUUUGGGAAUGCAGUCCAAAAUGGGUGGUAAAUUUCAUCUAAAGCUAAAUAUUGGCGAGAGACCGAUAGCGAACAAGUACCGUGAGGGAAAGAUGAAAAGAACUUUGAAAAGAGAGUUAAACAGUACGUGAAAUUGUCAAAAGGGAAGCGUUUGACACCAGUGUUGUUUUUCUGAAAAUCAAUUAAAGAACUGUUUAUGCUAAGCUGUCUAGACUUUAUCAGCUAUACUGUUUAGUUUUGAGCUUUUCUUUAAUGCACUUUUCAGUUAACAAGUCAACAUCAAUUUCUUUUGCUGUAAAAAAGCUUGAGGAAGGUGGCUUGAGAUUCGUCUUAAGUGUUUAUAGCCUCUUGCCUAUGCAGUCGGAGAGAUUGAGGUCUGCAGCGUAGAUCCUUCGGGGCUAAAUGCAUUUGUGCUAAGUUAUAGCAUUUUAUAGACAACUUGUUGACUAUGAUUUGUCUUGUAGCUUACUCGCUUAUGUUAUUUUACCUACGCUUAGGAUGUUGAAGAUGUAGCACAUCAU
rnacentral:rRNA from 1 species